CCUACGGGUGGCAGCAGUGGGGAAUAUUGCACAAUGGGGGAAACCCUGAUGCAGCGACGCCGCGUGAGUGAAGAAGUAAUUCGUUAUGUAAAGCUCUAUCAGCAGGGAAGAAAAUGACGGUACCUGAGUAAGAAGCCCCGGCUAACUACGUGCCAGCAGCCGCGGUAAUACGUAGGUGGCAAGCGUUGUCCGGAAUUACUGGGUGUAAAGGGAGCGCAGGCGGGAAGCCAAGUCAGCUGUGAAAACUACGGGCUUAACUUGUAGACUGCAGUUGAAACUGGUUUUCUUGAGUGAAGUAGAGGUUGGCGGAAUUCCGAGUGUAGCGGUGAAAUGCGUAGAUAUUCGGAGGAACACCGGUGGCGAAGGCGGCCAACUGGGCUUUAACUGACGCUGAGGCUCGAAAGUGUGGGGAGCAAACAGGAUUAGAUACCCCAGUAGUC
rnacentral:rRNA from 1 species